rnacentral:rRNA from 1 species
GCCUAGUUAUAAACAUUGACAGUUCAAUACAUUUUCUGUCCGCCUGGGGAUUACGAGCACUAGCUUAAAACCCAAAGGACUUGGCGGUGCUUUAGACCCACCUAGAGGAGCCUGUUCUGGAACCGAUAAUCCCCGUUUAACCUCACCCUUCCUUGUUUAACCCGCCUAUAUACCACCGUCGUCAGCUUACCCCGUGAAGGACGAAUAGUAAGCAGAGCUGGCAUCGCCCAGAACGUCAGGUCGAGGUGUAGCGAAUGCAAGGGGAAGAAAUGGGCUACAUUCCCUCCCCCGAGGGAACCUACGAAUGAUGCACUGAAAACGUGUUACUGAAGGAGGAUUUAGCAGUAAGAGGGGAACAGAGCGUCCCACUGAAGUCGGCUCUUAAGCGCGC